CGGACCGACUCGCUGUCUCAGCUGGAGAGCGCCAGCUGCGAGUCCACGGCCUUCUACGUCUGCGAGACGGGUAGCGCCAGCGUUGCCCGCUGUAUGAAGCAGAAGAACCGGCUGUGCUGUGCUGUGGAUGCCAACCACUACCCAGAGCCGUGCUAUGUGGACGAGCUGGGCACGCGGU